rnacentral:lncRNA from 1 species
AGGCUGGGAGAGGAUCAGAACCGCCUAUGCGGAGGAGAUCGCUGUGGAAUAUUCUUUAGGAUCUUUGGAAGGGAAGAAUAGCAAUGGUUCCAAGCAGCUCCCUGAUUUGCUUUCCUCCAGUCAGACCAGAUCUCCGAAUGUCACUGCUUAAGAAGACAAUGUCAGCUGCAGAUAAAGUUGGCAGAGCUGAGUGGUGCCCCCCUGCCUUCAGAGGGUUCAGGGUUCAGACCCCAAGCAGAAAAGUGCAAACAAAAUAUAGAGGCACCGUUUGGAGACUGUCCCUGCUACAGUUUGGGGACGGCAUCACACUGGACAUGCGGCCUUGCCUUCUGAUGUGGGAAAGACUGCUUGAUGAAGAACUCUCAGUUAUUUCUUCAGCACCAUGUCUGCCUGCAUGCCACUAUGCUUCAAACCCUAAUGGUAAUGGAAUAACCCUCUGAAACUGUAAGCAAGCCCCCAAUUAAAUGAUUUCUUUUAUAAGAGUUGCCAGCCAGGUGGUGGUGGCACAUGCUUUUAAUCCCAGCACUCAAGAGGCAGAGGCAAGCAGAUCUCUGUGAGUUCGAGGCCAG